GGCCUCGUAACUCGGCUGGUAGAGCCUGCGCUUUACUAACGCAUGGGCGCCGUGUAUGCGUAGGUUCGAAUCCCACCGAGGCUG
rnacentral:tRNA from 1 species